rnacentral:rRNA from 1 species
UCAAUGGAUGCCUUGGUGCAACACACCGAAGAAGGACGUGGAGGGCUGCGAUAAGUACCGGUGAGCUGCCGUCAAGCUUUGAUCCGGUAAUUUCCGAAUGGGGAAACCCGCUUGUGCAUGGCACAGGGGUUCUUAAGUCACUUAAGUACCUUAAGUUACUUAGGGGUUCUUGCGCUGUGCAUGAGCAUCCUUUUGCGAAUUAAUAAGCUUAAGGAAGGGUACCGUCUGAACUGAAACAUCUAAGUAAGGCGAGGAAAAGAAAGUAAUUAACGAUUCCCUGAGUAGUGGCGAGCGAAAGGGGAAAAGCCCAAACCAGGUACCAUACGGUACCUGGGGUUGCGGGACUCUAAUAUGAGAUCUCACUUAAGAUAGCAGAACUGUCUGGAAUGGCAGGCCAUAGAGAGUGAAAGACUCGUAUGUGAAAUCUUAAAUGGCUCUAGGAGUAUCCCAAGUACUACGGGACACGCGAAAUCCUGUAGGAAUCUGGCUCGACCAUGAGCUAAGGCUAAAUAUGUGUUGCGACCGAUAGUGAACUAGUACCGUGAGGGAAAGGUGAAAGAGUACCCCGGAAGGGGAAUGAAAAGUACCUGAAAUUGAACGCUAACAAGCAGCCGGAGCCAGGUACCGUCUGGUACCUGGUGACGACGUGCCUAUUGAAGAAUGAACCGGUGAGUUUUUCCAUUCUGUAGUCUAACCCCGCCUUUUGGCCGUAAGCCAAAGGCGCAAAUUCGAAGCACGAAUAUCGAAAUACUAAACAAAUUCGAAUUUUCAAAUUUUCAAAAUUCGAAAAAGCUGGUUUUGAUCAUUUGAAUUUAGGAUUUUGUAUUUGUUUCGGAUUUAGAAUUUAGAAUUUUGGAAUUCUGACCUUUGCGAGUUUGCGAGCAAAGGGCGGGGGGAGGCAAAGUGAAAGCGAGCGUUAAUAGCGCGUCCCGCCCUUUUUGGGUUUAAGUUAGACGGGGACAAUGUUCAAUUUGAACUUGAAAAGGGCGGGAUUAUACAGCAUGGAAAAGACCCGAAACCGCGUGAGCUAGCCAUGGCCAGGAUGAAGUCCCGCGAAAGCGGUAUGGAGGUCCGAACCCGUGUCAGUUGCAAGUGGCUGGGAUGAGCUGUGGUUAGGGGUGAUAUGCCAAUCGAACGCGGAGAUAGCUGGUUCUCCCCGAAAUAUAUUUAGGUAUAGCCCCCGUCAAAGUUCCUAGGGGUAGAGCACUGAAUAGUCUGUGCGCAGCAAUGUGUGCUGAUUAAUCAAACUUCGAAUACUGGGAAAUAAUCUAGGCGGGGAGUCAGUCCGACCCGGAUAAGCGGGCCAGGGCUAAAGGGAAACAUCCCAGAUCCAAAGCUAAGGUCCCGAAGUGUAUUUUAAGUGUGCAAGGUAGUAUUGACGUUUAGACAGCAAGGAGGUUGGCUUAGAGGCAGCCAUCCUUUAAAGAAAGCGUAACAGCUCACUUGUCUAAGUUCCGGAGAUCGGAAUUCAGAUGUCGGAUCUCGGACGUGAUAGUCUGAUUUCUGAUAUCCGACAUCCGACCUCCGGAACAGGCGGCAGUGCGCCGACAAUGUAACGGGGCUAAAAAUACCACCGAAGCUUGGGGUUCGCAUGCGUAGCAUGCGAUUACGAAUGGAUGCGAAUGCUAGAUUAAUGCGAAUGAAUGCGAAUGUGCUUCGAUUUAAUAUCUCAUUGUUGAUAUUUUAGAUUAUUGAUGCAUUCGAAUAAAUUCGCAUAUAAAAAGUAUUUGCAAAAAUUAGUAGUCGCCUGCUGCGCAGGCGAGCGGUAGGGGAGCGUUCGCAUAUGCGGUGAAGGCCACGGCGUAAGCCGGACUGGAGCGGUGCGAAGUGAGAAUGCCGGUAUGAGUAGCGAAACCCCGGUUGGAAUCCGGGGCGCCGAAUGUCCAAGGUUUCCUACGCAACGUUCGUCGACGUAGGGUUAGUCGGUCCUAAGGCGAGGCCAGAAGGCAUAGUCGAUGGACAAGCCGUUAAUAUUCGGCUACUUUGACAAAAUCGUUUAAAACAAAGGGAAGACGAAGAUGGAAGACUUCUGGGUCGAAAUGAUACGGCCUUCAAAAAGUAAGGAAGUGAAAAGUGGAAAAUCCCUUUUUAUGAUUAUUCGAGCUUUGAUGACGAUCCGGC